rnacentral:rRNA from 1 species
UACGGAGGAUGCAAGCGUUAUCCGGAAUGAUUGGGCGUAAAGCGUCCGCAGGUGGCAAUGUAAGUCUGCUGUCAAAGCGUCUGGCUCAACCAGAUAAAGGCAGUGGAAACUACAUAGCUAGAGUAAGGUAGGGGUAGAGGGAAUUCCUGGUGUAGCGGUGAAAUGCGUAGAUAUCGGGAGGAACACCAGUGGCGAAGGCGACUACCUGGCCUGUUCUUGACGCUGAGGCGCGAAAGCUAGGGGAGCAAACGGG